UCUAUUUCAGUUCUGAUGCACACCGCUUGCUUGUUGUAUUGCCUGCGCAAAGAUCGAGUAUACAUUUUCUUUAAUUAACUGCUUUUCAGUUCUAUGCAUUUGCAUACUCUAUUUCAGCAGUACAAGGUUGAAUGAUUGACUAGCUAGAUCAGUGGUGUGUGACGUCGUGAUGUGUGAAGACGCAAUUAGUAGCAGACAAAAAAAAACUGCUUACUCGGCUGAUCGCGUGAAACUAGGUACAAAAGAGUUUGAAAAUAGGUAUUCGUGUUCCAAGUAUGAAAACGUUGACAAGUUAUGCUUCCUCUUGUCAUGCUGAUCAUAUAAAUGGCCUAUCAUAGAAGAGUUCUUGUUCUUGACCUAUGAUGACAUUGCACGUGUCCCACAAAUUACUCCAGAUCUGUAGCAUACAAUUGGACUUGUGCUUUUUCCAGGUUCUCCUCUCCUUGUUUACUCCGACCAUAUCCUCUUCUGGUAAUCUUUUACCAGUACUUUGUCAAACGAUUCUGUGUAAAGCAAAGAAGCCUUGCUCUUCUACAAAAUCUUGAUAUUCCAAGAUCAUUCAGCUUCUAUCAAACGAUUUAUGUAAAGUCAAGAAGCCUUGCCCCCAGAUAAAAAUAUUUAUAUUCCAGGAUAAUUUAGCUUCAAUCAGCAGCGUCACCAAAGUUGAUUAGUGGCCUUCGGCACUUAGAAAGGAGAAACUUUAUUACCAUCGCAUCAUGUACUAUGGUCUGAACAUUUCUAUUUAUUACUAUUUUAUUUCUUACAAAA